UACGUAGGGUGCGAGCGUUAAUCGGAAUUACUGGGCGUAAAGUGUGCGCAGGCGGCUUCGCAAGUCGAGUGUGAAAUCCCCGAGCUUAACUUGGGAAUUGCGCUCGAAACUACGGAGCUGGAGUGUGGCAGAGGAAGGUGGAAUUCCACGUGUAGCGGUGAAAUGCGUAGAGAUGUGGAGGAACACCGAUGGCGAAGGCAGCCUUCUGGGCCAACACUGACGCUCAUGCACGAAAGCGUGGGGAUCAAACAGG
rnacentral:rRNA from 1 species